rnacentral:rRNA from 1 species
CAGGUGCCAGGCGUGGGAGCAAACCGAUUAGAUACCCUGUAGUCCACCCCGUAAACGAUGUCGACCUGGAAGGUUGUGGCCCCUGACGGCGUGGCUUCCCGAGGCUAACGCGUUAAAGUCGACCGUCCUGGGGAGUACGGCCGNCAGGUUAAAACUCAAAUGAAUUGACGGGGGGCCGCACAAGCGGUGGAGCAUGUGGUUUAAUUCGAUGCAACGCGAAGAACCUUACCUACUCUUGACAUCCAGAGAACUUUGCAGAGAAAUGCAUUUGGUGCCUUCGGGAACUCUGAGACAGGUGCUGCAUGGCUGUCGUCAGCUCGUGUUGUGAAAUGUUGGGUUAAGUCCCGCAACGAGCGCAACCCUUAUCCUUUGUUGCCAGCGGUUCGGCCGGGAACUCAAAGGAGACUGCCAGUGAUAAACUGGAGGAAGGUGGGGAUGACGUCAAGUCAUCAUGGCCCUUACGAGUAGGGCUACACACGUGCUACAAUGGCGCAUACAAAGAGAAGCGACCUCGCGAGAGCAAGCGGACCUCAUAAAGUGCGUCGUAGUCCGGAUUGGAGUCUGCAACUCGACUCCAUGAAGUCGGAAUCGCUAGUAAUCGUAGAUCAGAAUGCUACGGUGAAUACGUUCCCGGGCCUGUACACACCGCCCGUCACACCAUGGGAGUGGGUUGCAAAAGAAGUAGGUAGCUUUACCUUCGGGAGGGCGCUUACCACUCUGUAUUGGACUGACUG